rnacentral:rRNA from 1 species
GAUUACCUUAGUAACGGCGAGUGAAGCGGUAACAGCUCAAAUUUGAAAUCUGGGUCUUUUAGGCUCCGAGUUGUAAUUUGUAGAAGAUGCUUUGGGUGCGGCCCCGGUCUAAGUUCCUUGGAACAGGACGUCAUAGAGGGUGAGAAUCCCGUAUGUGAUCGGUGGCUUGCGCCCGUGUAAAGCUCUUUCGACGAGUCGGGUUGUUUGGGAAUGCAGCUCUAAAUGGGUGGUAAAUUUCAUCUAAAGCUAAAUAUUGGCCAGAGACCGAUAGCGCACAAGUAGAGUGAUCGAAAGAUGAAAAGCACUUUGGAAAGAGAGUUAAACAGUACGUGAAAUUGUUGAAAGGGAAGCGCUUGCAACCAGACUUGCGCGGGGUUGAUCAUCCGGGGUUCUCCCCGGUGCACUCGGCCUCGCUCAGGCCAGCAUCGGUUUUGGUGGUUGGAUAAAGGCCUUGGGAAUGUGACUUCUUUCGGGGAGUGUUAUAGCCCUCGGUGCAAUGCAGCCUACCGGGACCGAGGACCGCGCUUCGGCUAGGAUGCUGGCGUAAUGGUUGUAAGCGACCCGUCUUGAAACACGGACCAAGGAGUCUAACAUCUAUGCGAGUGUUUGGGUGUCAAACCCAUACGCGUAAUGAAAGUGAACGGAGGUGAGAACCCUUAAGGGUGCAUCAUCGACCGAUCCUGAUGUCUUCGGAUGGAUUUGAGUAAGAGCAUAGCUGUUGGGACCCGAAAGAUGGUGAACUAUGCCUGAAUAGGGUGAAGCCAGAGGAAACUCUGGUGGAGGCUCGCAGCGGUUCUGACGUGCAAAUCGAUCGUCAAAUUUGGGCAUAGGGGCGAAAGACUAAUCGAACCAUCUAGUAGCUGGG